CCCACUUUCCCGGGCCCCCGCCGGCCGCGCCUUACUCUUAAUUUGCAAAGCGGACUGUACGAUCUGAUUAAUCUUGAUAAACAAGUCAAAACUUUCAACAACGGAUCUCUUGGUUCUGGCAUCGAUGAAGAACGCAGCGAAAUGCGAUAAGUAAUGUGAAUUGCAGAAUUCAGUGAAUCAUCGAAUCUUUGAACGCACAUUGCGCCCGGCAGCAAUCUGCCGGGCAUGCCUGUCCGAGCGUCAUUUCUCCCCUCGAGCGCGAUUGGCCCCUAGCGGGCCGGCCGCCGCCCGGUGUUGGGGCACUGCGGGCCACAGCGCCCGCAGGCCCUCAAAUGAAGUGGCGGUCCCGCCGCGGCGCCCCCUGCGUAGUAGUAAAGCACCUCGCAUCGGGUCCCGGCGAAGACCAGCCGUCGAACCUAUCUCUUGAUGGUUUGACCUCGGAUCAGGUAGGGAUACCCGCUGAACUUAAGCAUAUCAAUAAGCGGAGGA
rnacentral:rRNA from 1 species